UCACAACGGAUCUGGGAUCAGU
rnacentral:miRNA from 1 species